ACGUGCACCGAUCAUCGCCAAUGGCAGCGAAGACCUGAUUAAGCUCCUCCGCCGUGAUCUUCCCAUCGCGAUCCGUGUCAAAGAAGCAAAAAGCGUCUCGCAGCUCCGUGUCGCAAGCCGGGCCGAAAGCCGAACUGAUGGCGCCGAACUCCUCCAGGCUUAUGCACCCAUCACCGUCACGAUCCACCUCGCUCAACAUCAUCAUAAUCUCCUCCUCGCUCGGCGGCUCGACUCCAACCCUGCUCAGCAGGGCCUCCAGCUCUCUUUUCGUUAUCUUCCCAUCACCGUCUCGGUCUAUCAUCUUAAACGCAUGAACAAGCUCCGUCUGGAUAUCGGACGAAAAAUCGGACCAGUCACCCGAUAUCUCGUAUGAAUGCAUGGGCAAAACGCUGGUGGGCGUCCCCAUACCGCCACCGCAAGCCCCGGUACCGGUCUUCAAAUUCGUGGAGGAGUCAGAGGACGUGGAGGACGAAGUGCCGGAACUAAAAGAAGAUGGAUCGGUUCGUGUAACCGACCUGCUCUUCUUGGACCGAAACAACUGUUUGGGGUUGAUCUUGUAGAUGAGUUUCAUGGCUGAAAGAGAGAAGAACAGAAGAAAGGG
rnacentral:lncRNA from 1 species